UACGUAGGGAGCGAGCGUUGUCCGGAUUUAUUGGGCGUAAAGGGCGUGUAGGCGGUCUCUUAAGUCUGGAGUGAAACUCCGGGGCUCAACCCCGGAACUGCUUCGGAUACUGAGGGACUUGAGUACUCUAGAGGGCAGUGGAAUUCCCGGUGUAGCAGUGAAAUGCGUAGAGAUCGGGAGGAACACCAGUGGCGAAGGCGACUGCCUGGGGAGAAACUGACGCUGAGGCGCGAAAGCUGGGGGAGCAAACGGGAUUAGAAACCCUCGUAGUCC
rnacentral:rRNA from 1 species